UACGGAGGGGGCUAGCGUUGUUCGGAAUUAUUGGGCGUAAAGCGCACGUAGGCGGUCCUGUAAGUCGGGUGUGAAAGCCCGGGGCUUAACCCCGGAAGUGCACUCGAAACUGUAGGGCUUGAGUAUGGAAGAGGGUCUCGGAAUUCCCGGUGUAGAGGUGAAAUUCGUAGAUAUCGGGAGGAACACCAGUGGCGAAGGCGGAGACCUGGGCCAAUACUGACGCUGAGGUGCGAAAGCGUGGGGAGCAAACAGG
rnacentral:rRNA from 1 species